GGCUUAAUAGAAAUUAAUUUUAGGUCGAUCUGCCCAAUGAUUUUUAAAAAUUUAAUGGCUGCAGUAUAUCUAACUGUACAAAGGUAGCAUAAUCAAUUGUUUCUUAAUUAGGAACUGGUAUGAAAGAAUUAAUGAGAUAUAUACUGUCUCAUAUAAAUUUAAUGAAUUUAAAUUUUUAGUAAAAAUGCUUAAAUAAUUUUAUGGGACGAUAAGACCCUAUAGAAUUUUAUAUAAAUAUUUAAUUAAUUAUUUAUUUAAAUAUUUAUAUUUAAUUGGGAGGAUUAGUAAAUUAAAUUAACUUUAUUUUAAAUAUUAACUUUGAUUAAAGGAUAAUUAUUGAUAUUGUAAUAUAAAUUUAAAGAAAAAAUUACCUUAGGGAUAACAGCGUAAUAUCUUUUUAAAGAUCAAAUUGAUAAAGAUGAUUGCGACCUCGAUGUUGAAUUAAGAUAAAUUUUAAAUGUAGAUGUUUAAAGAUUAAGUCUGUUCGACUUUUAAAAUCUUACAUGAUUUGAGUUCAAAUCGACGUGAGU
rnacentral:rRNA from 1 species